GAUGAAGAACGUAGCGAAAUGCGAUAAGUAAUGUGAAUUGCAGAAUCCAGUGAAUCAUCGAAUCUUUGAACGCACAUUGCGCCCGCCAGCAUUCUGGCGGGCAUGCCUGUUCGAGCGUCAUUUCAACCCUCGACCUCCCUUUGGGGAAGUAGGCGUUGGGGACCGGCAGCACACCGCCGGCCCUGAAAUGGAGUGGCGGCCCGUCCGCGGCGACCUCUGCGUAGUAAACCAACUCGCACCGGAACCCCGACGUGGCCACGCCGUAAAACACCCAACUUCUGAACGUUGACCUCGAAUCAGGUAGGACUACCCGCUGAACUUAAGCAUAUCAAUAAGCGGAGGA
rnacentral:misc_RNA from 1 species